CACGCGGUAAACGAUGAAUACUAGGUGUAGGGGGUAUCAACUCCCCCUGUGCCGGAGCUAACGCAAUAAGUAUUCCGCCUGGGGAGUACGGCCGCAAGGUUGAAACUCAAAGGAAUUGACGGGGGCCCGCACAAGCAGCGGAGCAUGUGGUUUAAUUCGAAGCAACGCGAAGAACCUUACCAAGGCUUGACAUCCACUUAAACGCAUGGAAACAUGCGGUCUCUUCGGAGGAAGUGAGACAGGUGGUGCAUGGUUGUCGUCAGCUCGUGUCGUGAGAUGUUGGGUUAAGUCCCGCAACGAGCGCAACCCUUAUUGCCAGUUACCAGCGAGUAAUGUCGGGGACUCUGGUGAGACUGCCGGGGACAACUCG
rnacentral:rRNA from 1 species